rnacentral:rRNA from 1 species
AAUGAACGCUGGCGGUAGGCCUAACACAUGCAAGUCGAACGGCAGCACAGGAGAGCUUGCUCUCUGGGUGGCGAGUGGCGGACGGGUGAGGAAUACAUCGGAAUCUACUCUGUCGUGGGGGAUAACGUAGGGAAACUUACGCUAAUACCGCAUAAGACCUACGGGUGAAAGCAGGGGACCUUCGGGCCUUGCGCGGUUGAAUUAGCCGAUGUCGGAUUAGCGAGUUGGCGGGGUAAAGUCCCACCAAAGCGACGAUCCGUAGCUGGUCUGAGAGGAUGAUCAGCCACACUGGAACCGAGACACGGUCCAGACUCCUACGGGAGGCAGCAGUGGGGAAUAUUGACAAUGGGCGCAAGCCUGAUCCAGCCAUACCGCGUGGGUGAAGAAGGCCUUCGGGUUGUAAAGCCCUUUUGUUGGGAAAGAAAUCCAGCUGGCUAAUACCCGGUUGGGAUGACGGUACCCAAAGAAUAAGCACCGGCUAACUUCGUGCCAGCCGCCGCCGUAA